rnacentral:lncRNA from 10 species
UGCUGGUAUUAUAAGCGUGAGCCACUGCGCCCCGGCUCUAUUACUCCUUCUUCUGACAAAGCAUCUGCAUUUCCUUUCUAUGUGUAGAGCUGUCAAUCAAGGUGUCUUCUCUGCCUUAUCUGGCCAAGAUACAACCAAACACCCAGACUGGGCCAAUCAGACUACUGGGAAUCUCGCUUUGGAGCAGAGCAAAGAAAAGACCCAGAAGAUGUUUGGAGCCCCUCUACUCUAACUGUGAAGCCCUGGCCAGAGAGAGAAUUCCUGUGGUGGAGAAUUGUCCUGGCUUCUGCCUUGUUCUGGGCCUUGUUCUCUGGGCUUCUUUUGAAUUCUGUGAGCCACAUACAUCCUUCCAAUACAUUCAUUUACUGCUGAUGUCAACCAGAAAUUCAGGGGAACCUGAGCCAAGUG